UGAAUAGGUACAAAUUGUGCCGAAUACUGUGAAAGAAGUAUAUGACUACUGAUUGAGAUGAACAUUCUGAAAGAAACUCCAUGGGAACAUGAAUGGAAUUUUAAAAGAAGACUUAAUAUCGAUUUGAGAGUCAAGGACUGACUCUGAGAAAAGGAAUUUAAGACUUAGGCAAUGGCAGCAUUUAAGUAGACAGAGACAAGAAAAAAAUACUGUCAGUUUCUUAACCUGGGACCUAUAACAAGGCUGCUCACAGAAAAGGAACUAUCUCCAGUUUCACUGGGUGCCCUGGAUUCAUAGAUGGACAAAGCUUUCUCUUGUCAAGAUCUUGUCUUUCAACUCUGUUGGAUAGCAUAUUUAUCUUAGUUUCAGCCUUGAAUUCUCACUUGGACAUAUUCUAUUUCCCUACCAGAGUGUAACCCCAAUAUAAGGACUGACAGUCAAGCUCUACUACACCUCUUAGCCAGUUUCUCCAGAUAAUAACGAAUACCAUACACAUUCACAGGCCAUGUUCUAAAGGAUUCUCAGAAGAUGUGCAUGAAGCACCAUACCAGAGAGAUAUGGAACUCUAUUUUCAGAAUUUUUCAGAAUGUCCACUGGGCAGCCAGCUGAUUGAACUCAGAAAUGGGACAUGUUCUCUCCCUAUGCGGUGAAUCUAUAACUGUGAGGAUAGGAAGCAGAAAGGAUCCAGGCACAUACACUUCCCCUACUGUAGAAGGCUACUUUGAACGGUACUUCUCUCAAUCCAUUGUAAGUUCUGCAUGCUGAUUCAUCUGCUGUGUCUCAUCACUGCUGAAUGUGAA
rnacentral:lncRNA from 1 species